rnacentral:lncRNA from 10 species
GUUCACAGCAAAAUUGAACAGAAAGUGCACAGUGUUGUCAUAUACCCCCUUUCUCUACAGACUCACAACAUGCCCCUCCAUCAAUAUUCCACACCAGAGUGGUACAUUUGUUACAAAUUAUGAACGUACAUUGACAUACAAUCAUCAUCCAGAGUUCAUAGUUUACAUUAGGGCUCACUCUUGCUGUUGUACAUCCUUUGGGUAUUGACAAAUGUAUAAUGGUGUAUAUCCACUCCAGUAUCAUACAGAAUAGUAUCACUCUCUGAAAAUUAUCUAUGUCUGUCCAUUCAUCUAUCUCUCUCUCCUAACCCCUGGCAAACAACCAUUUUAUUGCCUCCAUAGUUUUACCUGUUUUAGAAUGUUGUAUUGCUGGAUCAUAUAGUAUGUAGUCUUUUAUGAUUACCUUCUUCCACUUAGUAAUAUGCAUUUAUAUCUACUUCAUGUCCUGUCAUGGCUUAAUAGCUUUUUUUUUUUUUUUUUUUUUUUUUUUAGUGCCGAAUAAUAUUUCAUUUUCUGGAUAUACCUCACUUUAUCUACUUGCUACAGAAGGGCAUCCUGCUUACUUUAAAGUUUUGGCAAUUAGGAAUAAAGCUGCUAUAAGCAUCCAGUCUUACUAGGACCUUCUAUAGCAUAAGACAAAGAAGAAUACAUGUUUAAAAGAAAUGCAACACAUGGGUGCUGCCUGCAAAUCAGAAAGAAGAUAAAGCCAAUUCACAAAGGAGCACCAGUGCCUUAGAAAGCUGUUUGCUAGAAAGCUCUUCAAUAACUAGACUUUUCUAUAUUGAACCUGUAGACAAUGAGAUAAGACAACAGAAUUUUGAUGUGCCAAGGAAGUACAACAACCUCACUGUAGGCUGUUAUGAUAAUGUGUACUUACCUCUUCUUAAUUCUUUCUCACUAUAGAGUGAUAGCAGAAAAGAGAGGAAGAUACCUGGAAGAUAUACCUAAGAAAUACUUGGGAAGUAUAUGGAAAUGGGUACUUUUUCUCCUCUUUGAACAAUCAAUUCAUUCAAAACUCCAGUGUUAUCCUGAGCUACUAGGAGAAGCGUUAAAAAUAAACCUGAUUUGAUCUUAAAAAACAAGCAAAUAAAAACAGACAAUGGGACACUUUUUCUUAAUAAUAAUUGAGACUUACCCUAUGGAAAAUGUAGAUUUUAAUACAUUAAAUUUGUUAGCAGGUAUAGUUGAUUAGAUAGAUCAACAGAUAGAUAAAGAUAAAUAUUUUUUAUGCACCAUAAAUGCACGCAAACAUAUACACAUGCAUAUUUGGGAUAUCACAGCAAUAGUAUGCAUCUUAGUCUAGUUUGGGCUGCUAUAACAAAAUAUGUGGGACAGGGUAAUUUAUGAAGAACAGAAAUUUAUUUCUCAUAGUUCUGGAGGCUGGGCAGUUUAGAAUCAAGGCUCCAGCAUUUGUUGUCUGGUGAGGGCUGCUGUCUGCUUCUAAGAUGGUGCUUUGUUGCUGUGUCCUAACAUGGCCAAAGGCAGAAAAGCAAAAAGGGCCUAGCUAGUUCCCUCCAGCCCUUAUAUAAGGCCUCUCAUGCCAUUAAUGAGGGUUCUGCUCUCAUGACAUAAUCACCUCUUAAAAGCCCUGUCUCUUAAUACUGUUACCUUGAGGAUUAAGUUUUAACAUGAAUUUUGGGAGCACAUUCAACCAUAGCAGUGUGAGAGGGAAGGUUAAAUGUCUUAGUUAAUGUUGAUUUCUGUAACAAAUAAAAUCUUUAAAAUAAUAAUAAGUGUUCAUUUAGUAUCACUUAAAUUCAAAAAGCGUGUUUCUAUCUUCAAAUCAG